CCAUGCUGUUCUCAUGACGAAGUCUCACAAGAUCUGUGGGUUUUAAAAAUGGGACUUUCCCCUCACAAGCUCUCUCUCUGUUUGCCUGCUGCCAUCCAUGUAAGACGUGACUUGCUCUGCCUUGCCUUCCAUCAUGAUUGUGAGGACUCUCCAGCCACAUGCAACUGUAAGUCCAUUAAACCUCUUUCCACAGAAGAUUAAGAAUGAAGGAGGGGAGUAUGUGCAAAGAACCAUCAUACUUAAUUCCCACCUCUUCAAACUGCUAGAGCCACAGACAAUCCUGGAAUACCCCAAAAGAGAGGAGUGUCUUUUUGUUUCAGGAUUCCAUGCUGCUGCUCCGCCAUGCUUCACACCAAUCAAUAAGAAGUGUUUCCAGCUGUAUCUACGAAAUGUCUCUCCAGAAUCACUGACAAUUCGGUUCACAUCAUAUGGCAAUUAGAUAAUUUUCUGAUGACUUUUAACUUACCUCCUCUCUUUUGACUUCUCCCUACACCAUAUCAGUGUCCAAAGUGUUGCCAAAACCACUUCGAAAAUGCACAUCUGUUUCUGUCUCUCCCUUAUAUUAUGCCUUCAAAUCAUGACUUCUUAAAAUGAUAUAAGGAAUUUUUACAGUUGGGUAAAAAAUUAAGUUGGAGCCUCCUUUAUAAUUGUUCCUGUACAUUUGCCAUCCCUCCAGACUUAAAGAAUAAAUUGAAGAACUUUGUACAGAAUAUUGACUUUCCUGUUGAUGUGCCAUCAUUUAGUACAGGAGAAACAACUCAGUGUAUACCUAUCUGCAAACUUUUCUAAUGAUAAUUUGUGCCUAUAGUCCUAUACUGAUGUGAAGUGUGAAAAAAUAUAUACCAGGAGAAACAAAGGAGAAUGGCACCAUAUAAUUGGUAGAUUUUCAUCCCAUAGUUUAUUUUCGUAUUUGCCUGCAAGGUCUUUUUUCAUACACUAAAUCAAGCCCUGCCUGUUUUGAAAUCAUCAUCGACACCCCUUCAAAGCACAGUUAAGUACACCUUCUCUGGUUUCACAUGACAAUCUGAUUGCACUGGAUUACAGUCAAAACUUUUGUGUCUGUCUGUGCAAUUUCUGAUGUCCUUAAGGGCAGGGACAAUGUUUUUCCCAAUUUUGUAUUGCCAGUGCCUAGCACAAUCCCUGACUUUUUGUAGAUAGAACUUUUUUCCACCAAUUGUAUAAUUUAAUGAAUCACACAUAUAGACUCUAAUGAUU
rnacentral:lncRNA from 1 species